rnacentral:tRNA from 1 species
GGAGGCGUCGCAUAGCUGGUUUAGUGCGCCGGUCUCGAAAACCGGUGUCUCGCAAGGGAUCGAAGGUUCGAAUCCUUCCGCCUCCG